UGGGGAAUAUUGGACAAUGGGCGCAAGCCUGAUCCAGCAAUACCGCGUGUGUGAAGAAGGCCUGCGGGUUGUAAAGCACUAUCAGUAGUGAGGAAGGUACGCAUGUUAAUAGUAUGCGUAAUUGACGUUAGCUACAGAAGAAGCACCGGCUAACUCUGUGCCAGCAGCCGCGGUAAUACAGAGGGUGCAAGCGUUAAUCGGAAUUACUGGGCGUAAAGCGCACGUAGGUGGUUUUUUAAGUUAAUUGUGAAAUACCUGGGCUCAACCUGGGAAUUGCAGUUAAUACUGGAAGGCUAGAGUAUGGUAGAGGGAAGUGGAAUUUCCGGUGUAGCGGUGAAAUGCGUAGAUAUCGGAAGGAACACCAGUGGCGAAGGCGACUUCCUGGACUAAUACUGACACU
rnacentral:rRNA from 1 species